rnacentral:tRNA from 1 species
UGGGGUGUAGCUCAGUGGGAGAGCACUGGCCUAGCAUGUGUGAGGCCCUGAGUUUGAGCCUCAACACUACAA